AUAGUAAGCGGAGGAAAAGAAACUAACGAGGAUUCCCUUAGUAGCUGCGAGCGAAACAGGGAAAAGCCCAGCACUGAAUCCCGGGGGCCUCGCCUCCAGGGAAAUGUAGUGUUUGGGAGGGUCCAUACACCCGAUACCGUCGCACCGCGUCCAAGUCCAUCUUGAAAGAGGCCACGGUCCCGAGAGGGUGCCAGGCCCGUGGUAGGCCGGUGCAGGUGUUGGGUGGACCUCUCCUCAGAGUCAGGUUGCUUGAGAGUGCAGCCCUAAGCGGGUGGUAAACUCCAUCUAAGGCUAAAUACAACCACGAGACCGAUAGCGAACAAGUACCGUGAGGGAAAGUUGAAAAGAACUUUGAAGAGAGAGUUCAAGAGUACGUGAAACCGCUCAGGGGUAAACGGAAAAGACCCGAAAUUUCCGAAGAGGGAGAUUCACGUCUUCUCGCGGGUUCGACGCAUCCAUUCCUCUUCGACGAUCCUGCCCCCGUUCGGACUCGUCCGGUGCGUGGCGGUGGGGUUGCAGAGGGUGGUGUGGAGGCCUGCGGCGGACCGCACUUCUCCCUUAGUAGGACGUCGUGACCCGUCCGGUCAUGGUCAUAAGGGUGCAGGGUGGAGCCUGGCCGAUCGUGCUUGCACGUCUUCGGUCAGACCCCCGCGCCCCGGCCAUGAAUUUCGGUCGGUAUCGAAUGACAGUGUUAGGUCACUUACCGGGGGAGGAAACUCCUUCCAGUGAGUGCGUGUGGCUCUCGACAAGGUGCUGGGAUGUCGGUCAAGGCGGGCUCCCGUCCGUCUGGCCCCGCUCGGCCCUGUUGGUCUUGUUGCUCUCACGCUGGCCUAUCUACACUCGUCUACGGCGAAUCAGUUUUGGGCUCUUGUCCGACCCGUCUUGAAACACGGACCAAGGAGUUCAGCGUGUACGCGAGUCAUUGGGUGGUAAAACCCAAAGGCGUAAUGAAAGUGAAGGGAACUUUACGUUUCUGAGGGAGGAUGAGUCGGUUACCCGCAAGGGGCUGCUCCGCACUCCCGGGGCGUCUCUUUCUCAUUGCGAGUGGAGGCGCACCCAGAGCGUACACGCUGAUACCCGAAAGAUGGUGAACUAUGCCUGGCCAGGACGAAGCCAGGGGAAACCCUGGUGGAGGUCCGCAGCGAUUCUGACGUGCAAAUCGAUCGUCGGAGCUGGGUAUAGGGGCGAAAGACCAAUCGAACCAUCUAGUACAAUAGAUGAGAACUCCGGCUUUUCUUGAACCAUGUUUUUGAAGCCGGGGGCUCGGAUCAGAGUGCCAAGUGGGCCAAUUUUGGUAAGCAGAACUGGCGCUGUGGGAUGAACCAAACGUCGAGUUAAGGCGCCCAAAUCGACGCUCAUGUGAAACCAUGAAAGGCGUUGGUUGCUUAAGACAGCAGGACGGUGGCCAUGGAAGUCGGAAUCCGCUAAGGAGUGUGUAACAACUCACCUGCCGAAGCAACUAGCCCUGAAAAUGGAUGGCGCUGUAGCGUCGUGCCUAUACUCGACCGUCAACGGCAAAGAUGGCUGGCGGGCAACCGUCGGCCGUUACGCCUUGACGAGUAGGAGGGCCGCGGCGGCGUGCGUAGAAGGGUCUGGGCGCGAGCCUGCCUGGAGCCGCCGUCGGUGCAGAUCUUGGUGGUAGUAGCAAAUACUCCAGCGAGGCCCUGGAGGACUGAUGUGGAGAAGGGUUUCUUGUGAACAGCUGUUGCACAAGAGUCAGUCGGUCCUAAGCCCUAGGAGAAAUCCGAAGCGAUGGGUUGCCGUUAAUGUCUCAUAAGCUUACAUGAAGGCACCCGUUUGGGCGAAAGGGAAUCCGGUUCCUAUUCCGGAACCUGGCAGUGGAACCGUUCCAAUUCGGGCCCUCUGAGGACUCGUCAGGGCAACCUGAAUAGACCCGGAGACGCCGACAGGAGGUUGGGGGGAGAGUUGUCUCUUCUCUAUAAGCGAUCGAGUUCCCUGGAAACUUCUAGCAAGGAGAUAGGGUUUGGAUCGCGAAGAGCACUGCAGUUACGGCAGUGUCCCAAUCUUCCUCUCGGACCUUGAAAAUCCGGGUGAGGGCCACGAGGAACCCCACGCCAGACCGUACCCAUAUCCGCAGCAGGUCUCCAAGGUGCAAAGCCUCUAGUCGAUAGAUAUAAGGGGGGGAGGGAGAAAAAAAAAAAAAA
rnacentral:rRNA from 1 species